rnacentral:tRNA from 1 species
GAAGUAAUAUAAAUUGAACUUCUAAUUCAAUACUUAAUGAUCUAAAAUUUUCAUUUUACUUCU